rnacentral:rRNA from 1 species
UACGUAGGGUGCGAGCGUUAAUCGGAAUUACUGGGCGUAAAGCGUGCGCAGGCGGUUUUGUAAGCCAGAUGUGAAAUCCCCGGGCUUAACCUGGGAAUGGCAUUUGGGACUGCAAGGCUCGAGUGCGGCAGAGGAGACUGGAAUUCCUGGUGUAGCAGUGAAAUGCGUAGAUAUCAGGAGGAACACCGAUGGCGAAGACAGGUCUCUGGGCUGACACUGACGCUCAUGCACGAAAGCGUGGGGAGCAAACAGG